rnacentral:rRNA from 1 species
GAUGAACGCUGGCGGCGUGCCUAAUACAUGCAAGUCGAGCGAACGGACGAGAAGCUUGCUUCUCUGAUGUUAGCGGCGGACGGGUGAGUAACACGUGGAUAACCUACCUAUAAGACUGGGAUAACUUCGGGAAACCGGAGCUAAUACCGGAUGAUAUUUUGAACCGCAUGGUUCAAAAGUGAAAGACGGUCUUGCUGUCACUUAUAGAUGGAUCCGCGCUGCAUUAGCUAGUUGGUAAGGUAACGGCUUACCAAGGCAACGAUGCAUAGCCGACCUGAGAGGGUGAUCGGCCACACUGGAACUGAGACACGGUCCAGACUCCUACGGGAGGCAGCAGUAGGGAAUCUUCCGCAAUGGGCGAAAGCCUGACGGAGCAACACCGCGUGAGCGAUGAAGGUCUUCGGAUCGUAAAACUCUGUUAUUAGGGAAGAACAUAUGUGUAAGUAACUGUGCACAUCUUGACGGUACCUAAUCAGAAAGCCACGGCUAACUACGUG